AUUGAACGCUGGCGGCAGGCUUAACACAUGCAAGUCGAGCGGGGUGAUGGUGCUUGCACUAUCACUUAGCGGCGGACGGGUGAGUAAUGCUUAGGAAUCUGCCUAUUAGUGGGGGACAACAUCUCGAAAGGGAUGCUAAUACCGCAUACGUCCUACGGGAGAAAGCAGGGGAUCACUUGUGACCUUGCGCUAAUAGAUGAGCCUAAGUCGGAUUAGCUAGUUGGUGGGGUAAAGGCCUACCAAGGCGACGAUCUGUAGCGGGUCUGAGAGGAUGAUCCGCCACACUGGGACUGAGACACGGCCCAGACUCCUACGGGAGGCAGCAGUGAGGAAUAUUGGUCAAUGGGCGCAAGCCUGAACCAGCCAUCCCGCGUGCAGGAUGAAGGCCCUAUGGGUUGUAAACUGCUUUUGUACGCCAAGAAAACUCGUGACGUGUCACGAUCUGACGGUAGUGUAUGAAUAAGCAUCGGCUAACUCCGUGCCAGCCGCCGCCGUAA
rnacentral:rRNA from 1 species